UAUUGCACAAUGGGCGCAAGCCUGAUGCAGCCAUGCCGCCUGUAUGAAGAAGGCCUUCGGGUUGUAAAGUACUUUCAGCGGGGAGGAAGGCGGUGAGGUUAAUAACCUCGCCGAUUGACGUUACCCGCAGAAGAAGCACCGGCUAACUACGUGCCCGCAGCCGCGGUAAUACGGAGGGUGCAAGCGUUAAUCGGAAUUAAUGGGCGUAAAGCGCACGCAGGCGGUCUGUUAAGUCAGAUGUGAAAUCCCCGGGCUUAACCUGGGAACUGCAUUUGGAACUGGCAGGCUUGAGUCUCGUAGAGGGAGGUAGAAUUCCAGGUGUAGCGGUGAAAUGCGUAGAGAUCUGGAGGAAUACCGGUGGCGAAGGCGGCCCCCUGGACGAAGACUGACGCUCAGGUGCGAAAGCGUGGGGAGCAAACAG
rnacentral:rRNA from 1 species